UACGUAGGGUGCAAGCGUUGUCCGGAAUUAUUGGGCGUAAAGAGCUCGUAGGCGGUUUUGUCGCGUCUGCUGUGAAAAACUCGGGGGCUUAACCCCCGGGCCUGCAGUGGGUACGGGGCAGACUAGAGUGCGGUAGGGGGAGACUGGAAUUCCUGGUGUAGCGGUGAAAAUGCGCAGAUAUCAGGAGGAACACCGGUGGCGAAGGCGGGUCUCUGGGCCGUAACUGACGCUGAGGAGCGAAAGCGUGGGGAGCGAACAGG
rnacentral:rRNA from 1 species